rnacentral:rRNA from 1 species
ACGCUAGCUACAGGCUUAACACAUGCAAGUCGAGGGGCAGCAUGGUCUUAUCUUGCUAAGACUGAUGGCGACCGGCGCACGGGUGAGUAACACGUAUCCAACCUGGCGUCUACUCUUGGACAGCCUUCUGAAAGGAAGAUUAAUACAAGAUGGCAUCAUGAGUCCGCAUGUUCACAUGAUUAAAGGUAUUCCGGUAGACCAUGGGGAUGCCUUCCAUUAUAUAGUAGGCGGGGUAACGGCCCACCUACUCUUCGAUGAAUAGGGGUUCUGAGAGGAAGGUCCCCCACAUUGGAACUGAUACACGGUCCAAACUCCUACGGGAGGCAGCAGUGAGGAAUAUUGGUCAAUGGGCGAGAGCCUGAACCAGCCAAGUAGCGUGAAGGAUGACUGCCCUAUGGGUUGUAAACUUCUUUUAUAAAGGAAUAAAGUCGGGUAUGGAUACCCGUUUGCAUGUACUUUAUGAAUAAGGAUCGGCUAACUCCGUGCCAGCAGCCGCGGUAAUACGGAGGAUCCGAGCGUUAUCCGGAUUUAUUGGGUUUAAAGGGAGCGUAGAUGGAUGUUUAAGUCAGUUGUGAAAGUUUGCGGCUCAACCGUAAAAUUGCAAUUGAUACUGGAUAUCUUGAGUGCAGUUGACGCAAGAGGAAUUCGUGGUGUAGCGGUGAAAUGCUUAGAUAUCACAAAUAACUCCGAUUGCGUAAGGCAGCCUGCUAAUCUGCAACUGACAUUGAGGCUCGAAAGUGUGGGUAUCAAACAGGAUUAGAUACCCUGGUAGUCCACACGGUAAACGAUGAAUACUCGCUGUUUGCGAUAUACGGCAAGCGGACAAGUGAAAGCGUUAAGUAUUCCACCUGGGGAGUACGCCGGCAGCGGUGAAACUCAAAGGAAUUGACGGGGGCCCGCACAAGCGGAGGAACAUGUGGUUUAAUUAGAUGAUACGCGAGGAACCUUACCCGGGCUUAAAUAGCAGAUGAAUUUCGGUGAAAGCCGUAACCCGCAAGGCAUCUGUGAAGGUGCUGCAUGGUUGUCGUCAGCUCGUGCCGUGAGGUGUCGGCUUAAGUGCCAUAACGAGCGCAACCCUUGUUGUCAGUUAAUAACAGGUUUCUAUGAGGACUCUGACAAGACUGCCAUAGUAAGAUGUGAGGAAGGUGGGGACGACGUCAAAUCAGCACGGUCCUUACGUCCGGGGCUACACACGUGUUACAAUGGGGGGUACAGAGGGCCGGUACCACGCGAUUGGAUACCAAUCCCAAAAACCUCUAUCAGUUCGGACUGGAGUCUGCAACCCGACUCCAAGAAGUUGGAUUCGCUAGUAAUCGCGCAUCAGCCACGGCGCGGUGAAUACGUUUCCGGGCCUUGUACACACCCCCCGUCAAGCCAUGGGAGCCGGGGGUACGUGAAGUGCGUAACCGCGAGGAGCGCCCUAGGGUAAAACUGGUGACUGGGGCU